rnacentral:rRNA from 1 species
GACGAACGCUGGCGGCGUGCUUUACACAUGCAAGUCGAACGGUGAAGGUGGAGCUUGCUCCGCCGGAUCAGUGGCGAACGGGUGAGUAACACGUGGGCAACCUGCCCCUAACUUUGGGAUAACUACUCGAAAGAGUAGCUAAUACCGGAUAUGAAGUCUGUAGGCAUCUAUGGAUUUGGAAAGUUUUUCGGUUAGGGAUGGGCCCGCGGCCUAUCAGCUUGUUGGUGAGGUAGUGGCUCACCAAGGCGACGACGGGUAGCCGGCCUGAGAGGGCGACCGGCCACACUGGGACUGAGACACGGCCCAGACUCCUACGGGAGGCAGCAGUGGGGAAUAUUGCGCAAUGGGCGAAAGCCUGACGCAGCAACGCCGCGUGCGGGAUGAAGGCCUUCGGGUUGUAAACCGCUUUCAGCAGGGAAGAAGCGAAAGUGACGGUACCUGCAGAAGAAGCACCGGCUAACUACGUGCCAGCCGCCGCGGUAAAAC